rnacentral:rRNA from 1 species
AGUGAACGCUGGCGGUAUGCCUAACACAUGCAAGUCGAACGGCAGCACAGUAAGAGCUUGCUCUUACGGGUGGCGAGUGGCGGACGGGUGAGGAAUACAUCGGCAUCUACUUUUUCGUGGGGGAUAACGAAGGGCAAGUUACGCUAACACCGCAUACGACGUACGGGUGAAAUCAGGGGAUCUUCGGACCUUGCGCGAUAGAUUGAGCCGAAUUCGGAUUAGCUAGUUGGCGGGGUAAAGGCCCACCAAGGCGACGAUCCGUAGCUGGUCUGAGAGGAUGAUCAGCCACACUGGAACUGAGACACGGUCCAGACUCCUACGGGAGGCAGCAGUGGGGAAUAUUGGACAAUGGGCGCAAGCCUGAUGCAGCAAUACCGCGUGGGUGAAGAAGGCCUUCGGGUUGUAAAACCCUGUUGUUGGGAAAGAAAAGAAGUAGGUUAAAACGCCGCUGUUCUGACGGUACCCAAAGAAUAAGCACCGGCUAACUUCGUG